rnacentral:lncRNA from 1 species
CUCAAGUUCAAUGGUUUGUUUCUUGUUCUGUCCAGUCUGCUGACUCAAAGAUUUUCUUACCUUGAUUAAUCAAGGUAAGGAAAUCUUGAUUGUCAGCUUGAGUGGAUUAAGAAACACCUAGCAGAUGAAUAAAGCACAUUUCUGGUGUGUCUGGUCAAUCUGGGAGUGUGACCUUGGAGAUGAUAUCUGGUUCCUUGUCCAUUCAGCUCUUCCCCUGUGCUCUGCUCCAAGCCACCAAGAAUUGAGCAGCUUGAUCCAGCAUGCCCUUUUGCCAUGGUGCUUCUGUCUUGGCACCAGGUUACCAUGGGCCGAAUCCCCUGAAACCAUUUGCCACAUUAAAUUUUUCUUCCUUUAUGUUGCAGGUAUCAGAUGUUUUCUCCCAGAUACAGACAGUAUGUUUUCUAUUUGCAUUGUUUUAAUUUCCUAUAUAUAAUUAAUUCAUUUCUAUAACUCUGUUGUAAUUCCCCACGUGUUCACAAAAGUUGUUCACAUUUUAACCAGGUGUUUCAGCAUAUUAAUCAUAAUCAUUUCAUAGUCUCUGAAUGAUGGUUUCAACACCUGGGUCAUCUCUGAAUCUGGCUUGACUGGUUGCUUUUUCUUGUUCUUAGUUGCUUUUCUCUUAAUUGUUUUUGUUUUUUAAAAAAUUAAAUACCUGGAAUUAUGCUUAUAACAGAAGAGAAUGAAUUAAAUCUAUCUGCACCCAAAAAUUUGCAUACCUUUUGUGUCAAGCCCUUAGCAUGUGGGAUUGAGCCAAAGAAUCCAGGAUCUGAGCUGGGUUUGCAUUUUGUUGCUAUUUUUAUCCUGAUUAAUCACAAUCUUCAAAUUUCUUCAGCUUUGCAGCUUGCGCCUUGUACUUAGAGUGAAGCCUAGUGUGUGAGGGCUUUCCCAAGGGUUCCUGCUUUGUCUUCAGCUUUUAGCAGUCCUCCCCACCUUUGCCAUACACAGAGUCCCCUCAGUGCUCUUGCCUUUCUCCAUGUAAUUGAUUAUUACUGCUUGAUGAUCAGUGCUAGUAUCACAGUACAGAGGGGUCCUAUUUCUAGUCUGAGUGUAAAGCAGAUCUAUUAUCUUUUGUCCUUAGGAGGGAUGCCUUUUUAGCAUUCCAAUAGGAAUGCAAAACUCUGUUGGAAACUCUGUCCCCCCCCCCCCCCCCGUUUGGCCAUAGCUGGGACAGAGUUUCCUGCUCUAUUCCAGUAGUAGCUGACUUCUGCUCCUUAGCACACAAUCUCAUACCCAAGAUGUUUUUCUGCCUCUCUAUCAGGAGCAGAGGGAUUUUCUUAUCCAUGUUCUCUUAGCAGGAAUGGAUCUGUGCCAGUGUUGGUAUUUGGCCCUCUCUCAGGGAAACAGGCUUUGUUUCUUCUCCCCAAGAAGCAAUGUCAUUUUGCCUAAGCUCUGAGAAUGAGAGGAUUUUCUAUUCUCCCUAAGAGGGCUUACACCGUUUUCUUCAUAGGAGACAAGGAUACUGAGAGACAAAUAAACAGAUAUAUUUAUUUACCAAUUUCUGUGUUUCCUUUAGACCUAUUCCUUAGAGUUUUGAUUCCUUGGUAUUUCUAGUCUAUCUCAAAUGCAGUUCAAGCAUCUUUCUGUGGGUAAGAAAAGCCUUUCAGAAAACAAUUUUAGAUCUUUCAGGAGCAUCCCUUGGAAUGAACAGAAAGAGUGAAUGAUCAAAGGAUUUGGUUGAGGUACAGACCUUGACUACUAAACAUGAUCUUCCAAGGACAGAAAGGACAAUUCUGUUGGCCUUUCCCCAUGCCACACUCUUGAUCUGAUCAGUAAUAUAUGACCAUGCUUUGUCCAAGUGGCUCAAAUAAGCUGAAGUGAGCAAAAGUAAAAAAUUCCAGUCAGAAGAUGUACUUUAAACUGAAACAUCAAACUCUAGCAAGUUCUUCACAGAUAGUAUUGGAAAGCUCUGACUCUUCCCCCCCUAAUCCAAAAACUGAGAGAGGAAAUGCAAUUAAAACUAGUUCAUUUUUUUUUCUAGAGAAGGGCUAGAGCCACUAACAAAAAAGUAGCUCAUAGUCCAGAGAUGGCUGCUUGAUGGUAAAGCUAUGAAAUUGCAUGGAUAAUAGGAAUGACAAUUGCUGCUUCUUGCAGCAGCUUCAGACACCACAGAUGAAUUAAGAAAGCAUACAGAAAAAGGGGGGAAAGUAGCUGGAGUCAAGGGAAGUUUAACUUAUGGCAUAACUAUAUUGGCAUGGACUUCUUAGGACAGUACAUUCAUAGUAUAUCUUGACAGUGUGGUGUCAUGAGGGGGCCCUGGCAGAAGCAGACUGCCUCUUACUCUAUGGAAAAAUAUUGGUUGUAAGCCAGGGUACAAUCUGGAAAGUUUAGAAUUUCACUAUGGGGAGAUCAAAAUGAUUGGCUUUCUCUUUAAGGAAAAACUGUUAGUUAGUGAGCUUCCAGUAGAGUUUCUCCAUCCUCAAGUCAGGUGGAUGAGUAGGUGUAAUAUUUCCUACUCACAAUAGUUUGUUUGUGGUUGGGUACAGGAUACAAUCAGAGUCAAUGAGAAGCAAUUAAAUGUCAUUAUUAAAAAGAGAAGGAUAUUCUCAUUUCUGAUGAACAUGAAUCCAGAGGAUAUGAGCCAGGAGUUGCAAAGGAUCAGGACCAAAGGCCUUAGAAUGAAACAAAAAGAUCACAAGACAGGUACGACAGACAAGGAACAACUAACUAGUGACAACAUUUCUCUUCUUUUUUGUGGAGCCAGAACUACCCUGGACUUUCAGUUAUGUGAACUGAGAAAUUCCCAUUUGUGUUUGUUAUUUUGAGUUGAAAAUAUCUGUCACUUGUAAUAAAAAAAAAUCCACCUCCAAAUGGACACAAUUGAUUUAGGACAGGCCUUUAGGGAACCACAAAAUAAGGGCCAACAAAGUAUUCACUUGAUGCCUUAGGUUGAUGUCCAAAACCUGGUACUAAGUUAUUGGACAGAAGAAGACAAGUUAGACAGGAUAUCCUGGAAGCUAAUUUUAGGACAACUAAAAAGACAUUUUGCUUUAAAUAAACUUUUUAUUUUGGAAUAAUUAAUUAUACAUUUAUAAAAAGUAACAAAGACAUCACAGAGAGUUUCCCUACUUUUUUUUUUUACCAGUUUCUUCCACUAUUAUCAUCUUACAUGACCAUGGCAUAUUAGUCAGAGCAGUGGUACAUGGCUAUUAUCUAGUUUUGCCGUCAAGGUCCUUCUCUGUUGUGGGAUCCCAUCUAGUAUGCCAUAUUGUAUUUUAAUUGUCACAUCUUAAUUUCCUCUGGUCUGGGGCAGCUUCUCCAUUUUUUUUCUUUUCUUUUUUUUGGUUCAUGACCUUGGAAAUACUGGUUUUAUACUUUUUAGUCUCUCAUUUAAUUUGAGUUUGAUAUUUCCUCAUGAUUACAAUGAAUUGAUGGGUUUGGGAGAAGAAUACCUCAAAGGUGAAAUAGGGCAAUAUUCCAUCAGAGCUGAUUGGAUGAUGAGGAAAUGAAAGCACUACCCAUGUGGUAGAAUUCCUAGGGCCCAGAAUUGUUCUGAAUCAGUGUAUUUAAUCCUAAGCAUGAGGUCUUUGCUUUUCAAGGAGACAAAUGUGCAUAGUGACUUGCUGUGAGUUACUUUAUGAUUGUGGUAAGUUUAAAUGAGUUUUUACUUUCUGAAGACUUGAACCACAGAGAUACUAAUUCCUUUCAUUUAGUUAAAAGCCAGGCCUUGCCAAAACAAAAUUGGAAAGAAAGACCCCAUUAUUUCUUUUGUACUUCCAUGAGAGAAGCACCUUUAUUUUUCAGGGGCUUCUCUGCUAUCUGAGUCCUGUGACAGGAUUUAUACCUGUGUCUUCAAAUGUUUUCAUAAAAUGCUUCGGUAGUCAUAACCAGCUCUUUCUUUCUUUCUCUCUCACACACAGUCAAAGGCAAACCAAAAUCCCUUAUUAAAUUGUCUUGGUUUAUUACCAGGAAGUAGUAACUAGAUCAUCAAUUUCCUUCUCUCUAGUAAUCUAUCAAUAAUUGUGGUAGUUAUUGAAUAUUCAUGGGGUAGAGGACUGAAGAAAGUCAAUAGAAGAGAAACCAAAGGACUCAAUCCUUGUCCAAAGGCUUUGUUCUAAUACAGACAUUUAUCAUUCGCAUGUACAAAUGAGGUUAUGUAUUUGAAACAUUGUAAGGUAUUGUGUAAUUAUGUUAAAAUUUAACAUUCAAAUGAAUUCUUCCAUUGUAGACUCAUUUUAAAAAAAAAUUAUUCUUGAUAGCCCAUCACCUACUACUCAGCCUUUGUUCUUGAAAAGUGGUCAGUUCUCCCCUAAACUGCAGUUGGGAGUUAUUAUCUUUAAAAAAAAAAAACUCCAGGAUUGUAAAAUAGAAUUUUCUACAAAUGAUUCAUCUUUCUUGACCAUGUGCCUUUAAAAGAGCUAGGUAAAAGGUUUCAAAAUGGUGGCCCACUGAUUAUGGAAAAUUUUUGGUUUUGUUUGAAUAGCAGUUUGAAAUUUUAGUUAUCAACUUCUGAAAUUUGAGAGAAUUCUAAGAGUGUAAUCUUGGCUUCUCUUAGAAUCAAAAGACUUGUUGGUGCUGUUUUGUAUAGAUGGGAUAUAUAGUCCCUAAUUUUUCUGUCUUAUACCUUGCUAUUUUUACUUAUUUAUUUCCCUGUCUGGCCAAUAGAAAUUAUAAUUUCUGGUCUAGAGAAACUUGAGAUGGAUUGUCUAGAAGGAUAGAUGGAACAGAGGUCUUGUGCUUUGAAGUGAAAGAGUGAUUUAACGCUAAUGGAGUUGUAUCUUCCAGGAACAAAAUUGGGAAAAAGGCAGAGUGGUGGUAAAAUGCCCUCUGGAGGGCUACUGUCCAAGGUGGCAAGAUAUGGAAAGGGCAGGAGCCCACAAACCCAGAAGCUCGCUGCAUUGCCUUGGUGAGAUUCGCUAGUGACUGAAAUUGCCAUAAGCGCCUGGAGCCACUGCAGAGCUCAUCUCUUUCUGCACUCAGUAACUUCUGGAAAGUACAGAGGCAGCGUAACUCCCAAAGCCCAACACACAGACCUCUUCCAUUAUCUAGGAUCUCAUGUGCCCAAGACAGAAGGAGGGUGGCCCCCAAAUUAUUAAAAUUGAAACUGGACUGCUUGUCAAUCUUGGUAGGUAGAGAAUCAGAAAUACUUGAUUAAAUUUUAAAAAAUAAAGAAACACAACAUUACCUUCCCCCCCUCAGGGUCUUCAACAACUUAUUCCCAUGGAUCACAAUAUAAAUGUUGCUUUUUCUUUAAGAGAAAAUAGUUACUUGAUUUAAUAAGAAGCAUGAAAGUAUUGUAAAAUGAUAGUAAUUGAAUACCUUAGGUUCAACUAUACACACAAUUAAGUUCAUCCUUAAGAAUAAGUGGCUGAACCAGAGGGUUUCCAAACUCUCUCUUGGUUCUGAAAUGCAACAAUAUUGGUAAUCUGAAGAAAUAUUCAGAAUAUAGUUGGUGAAUGGAAGUUGAAUUAUACAGGUUGGCAGGCAGAAUAAUUUAGCAACCAUGCACAGAAGGAUGGAAAUGUAGAUAUCUAUCUUCAUUGUGAAGCCACUGUCACUUAAUAGACAAAUACAUUUCAUGGCAAAGAUUUGAGUUUAAUGGAAACUAUGGUUCUUAAACUAAAAUUGACAGGUUACUAAGUCAAAAUUUACUACAGGUCCCUUUACAACUGUGAGUAAUUUUAUUUCUAUCUAGCCUGAUAAACAGGUUUGAUUUCUGACUUCAGGACUCAUACACAAUUUCUAAGGAUAUUCCUCUGGCAAGUCCCACACUUGGAGAAAUUUGACCAGACAACUCAGACUUGUAAUGAUUGAAAUGUUCCCCAAAUUCUCACUCCUCCCAAGUUUCCUCCUUCUCUGUUCCCAUUUACUAAUUUACCUGAACCAGAUGUCUGGGAGCCAUGCUACAUUAUGAUAAUCUCAAAUCAAGUUGCUGAUCUACCUUUGGAGUCUACACCUUCAAGUUUUUAAGAGCAUGAAGAACUGGGAGCUGGGAGACACUCUACCCUUUCAACUGUUCCUUGUUCCAGAUAUUUGAUGUCUGCCAGAACCAUUGUAGCACACUUUCUGAGCUAAAUUCAACCUCCAACUUUUUAUUCCUUUAACACUCUAUAUUGCCACCAGAAUAACUUUUAUUUAAAAAUGUGUUAUUUAAAUGUGUUGAUGUGGCCACUUUGGAAGAUAGUCUAGUGGUUUUUGCUUUUUUUAAAAAUCAGAAUAUAGUCUUAGCAUAUAGCACAGCAAGCAUGCUCUUAGUGCUUAUUCUAUUGCUUUGAAAACAUAUGUUCACAUAAAAGCAUGCACAAGAAUAUUUAUAGCAGAUUUAUUUACAAUCACUCAGAAUAGAAGCACCAAGAUAUGUCCCAGCAAGUGAAUGAGUAGUCAAUUUGUGGUCCAUACAUACAAUAGAAUGCUAUUUAGGGAUAAAAAGGAAUAUGCUCUCAUGCAGUGCAAAGACAUGGACAAAUCUCUACUGUCUUUUGUUAGGUAAAAGAAGCAACUCUGAAAUGGGUACCUAUCAUAUGACUUCAUGUUUGUGACAGCCUAGGAAAGGCAAAAUUGUACAGAUAACAAACAAACAUUGAGAGACCCAGAGUAUGGGAAGAAGGGAAAAUUACAUGGGUAAUUUUUAAGAUGAUGAAACUAUGGUGGACACAUGACAUUACAUAUUUGUUAAAAUCUGUAGAACUUUGCAGUAAGUGCAUAGCAAUGUAUGCAAAUUUUAAAAAUCAUUUAGGGGGUCAGGGAGGACCCAGGAUAGAAUGUAAUAUAUGACAAGAGAAACUAAGCAUAUUAAAAAUAUAUGAAGCAACCACACUAAAGAGGGUAAAGGAAAAAAGGUGCUGCCCAAGUGAUUUUGAAAAUGAUUAAAAUCUGUAAGACUAAAAGAAAAAAGAACUUUGUGUAAGGACUGCCAUCCAAUUAAUAAAAUUUUCCUCAUGGUGUAUGGAUUAAUAAUUCCAAAGCCACUAUACAUAUGUAAUGGAAUUGAAGCAUGAAGGAAAUGAAUAGAUGUAGAAGCUGGGUUUCUCACUCUUACAGUGGGAAGUAACACAUAAGCAAGGGGAGGAGGUAGAACAAUCCUGUAGUAAUGGAUUAGAAUUGGAGACAUCAGUGUGAAUUCAUGCUAUAUCAAUACACAUAAGGAAGGUCAAGAUAAAAAUAUUUACCGAUGUGUAUGUAUACGUGGUUUAGUAGCAAACAUGCUUCCUUGAUCUGUCAGCUGAAAGCACUUAGGACUAAUGAAUGACCUUUGUCCCCAAGUAAAAAUGAACACUCCAGUGCCAAAUCAUAUUUUCUAGUCUAAUUCUACAGUGAAAGCAACCAGAACUUCUUGGAAAAUGGCCAUUUCUAAGAUUAGAUCAGGAAAUAUACAUGAUGAGCCUAGGGUACCUUAUUCUUCCAGGAAAUGAGAAAGUACCUGGGAAAAUACCAAACACACACACAAUGAUGAUUAUGUCAAAGGGACACAGUUGGCUACUAAAACAGCUCCUAACUGCCAAAGCUAGAACAAUUUGAGAAAAAAAGUAAGUAUAGUUGGAUUGUAUUAUAAUGCAAAGUAUCAAAUAAGUAACCAUGAGUUUAUACUGUUAUAAAUAAAUGAAUAAAUAAAAAUGUAGAAGAGAAUAGACAAAGGUUCCUUGUAGAAAAAAUAAUCCAAAUAAUGUAUGUAUGUGUGUGUUUAACUCCUCUGCGAGGUAGUGUAAUUCCCUACCACUUACAUGUGGGCUGCACAUUGUAACUUCCUUCCAAAAAGAGUAGUAUGCAAAAGGAAAAAAAGGAACUUUUUUAGUGGAGAAACCUGAAAAACCUACCUCAGUCAGAUGGGCAAGGUUAGCCUCAACAGUGAAAGGUCAUGUUGACAGUCUGUUACCUUGACAAACUAUGAUAAGAAUGACAGCACCCUGUGGGCUUCCUCCCACAAAACCCGUAACUACAGACUACUCAAGAGAGAAACACCCAGCAAAUCUAUAUUGAGGGACAUUCAACAAAAUUUGUGAACAGUGCUCCUUAGGACUAUUAAGGUUAUUAAAAAAAAUAGUCUGAGAAAUGAUCACAGCCCAUAGAAGCCUAAGAAAACACGAUGACUAGUCAGAAAAUGACAUCUUCAGUGGAAUUCUGGAGCAGAAAGGUAACAUUAGGUGAAAACCAAAUAAAUAUGAGUAAAGUUUGAGCUUUAGUUAAUGAUGAAACAAUUUGUUGAUUAUGAUAAGUGAACUAUUCUAAUAUAAGAUAUUUAGAAAAAGGAAAAUGGAGUGUAUUAUAAGUCUCCAUACUGUUCUUGCAACUUUUCUGUAAAUCUAAAACUACUUUUAAAUGAUUUUUAAAAAAACUAUUUAUCUUUUUUUACUAUAUGUCAGGUGAUGUGAGUAUAGGUAUUGAAGUCUGCUCUCCUAGAAAUUACUGUCUGGUUGGUGAUGCAGGCAGGCAUUUAUAGGUACAGAUAGAACUAUAAAUAUUCCUUUAAUAAAAUAAAAUUUCAGAAUAAUAUGGUAUUUUAAUAGUGAAAUUACUCUAGUCUGAGGAUCGUUGAAUUUUCUCAGUAAAGAGACAUUCAAACCAAAUAGGUGUUAUCUGGGUCAGGGGGCACUAAAAACAAAAGAAAUAGUAUGAACUAAGGACCAAAGGCAGGAAGAAUUUAGCUAUUUGACCAAGCAGAGAAAAAACCAUUGUCUCUGAAGCUCUGAGUUCAAGAUGAGAGAGAGGGAGAGAGAGAGAGAGAGAGAGGGAGAGAGAGAUCCUUCAGUGGUUUGCAACCUGGGAUCCACAGACCCCCCAGUAGACUUAUUGGAAGAACUAUUUAUUUCCUCUGUACCCCUACACACUUUAUGUUAUUUAUUUAAAAAUAUUACCCAGAAAAGUGGUUCAUAAAGGUUAACAGCAUCCCCUAAAGGGAACAAACAUGCCACUGUGUUAAGGAUAUUAAAGUUUGUCCCAAGUACAAUGAGAAAAAAUUGCUUAAAUUUAUUCACUAGUUCAACUUUCCUAUAGUCUCAAUUUCAUUUAUUUCUGCUCUGAUCUUUCUAAUUUCCAACCUUUUACUAGCUUUGCAUUUGGAUUAUUCUUGUUUUUCUAAUACCUUGAGGCACAUCAUUAGGUUAUUUAUUUGGACUUGAGUUUACCUUUGGUCCCUUUUCAUGGACUUUAAUUCUUUUCUGUACUGGACAUUAAUGUUUUAUGUCACUUUGUUUGGUUCAGCUAUCUUUUUAUUAAUGUCUUCUGAGGACUCAUUGAUUGUUUUGUUUAUUAGGUCUAUUAUCUGUUUAGUUAUAUCUUCUUUGAACUUGUCAAGCAUUUUAUCAAUUUUUAAAAAUCUCUUCUGUAUCCCUUCAAAUAAUUCAGCUGUGUGGUUUUAUAUUCCCCCCACCCACCAUGCUCCAUUGGCCAGCUUUGGGGGAUUUGAGAGUUUUUGCACAGAUUUUGUUGCAUUGUUUUCUCAUGUUUUUAUUUUUUGCUUUGUGUGAAAGUUUGCUGGUUGUUUACAGUAGAGGACUUUGUUGCCAGUAUGGAGACCUCUUUAGUUUGCGUUCCAUUUCAGUGAUACACUUUUGGUAUAGCUAACUAUAGGUUUACCUCUGUCUCAAGAUACAACCACCUUGGUAUAUUUGGGAAGGAAAUAUACAGUUUUUAGGAAAUGGACCACAGUAUUGUUAAUGACACAAAGCCAAUCCCUAUAUUAGCACACAGAGAAAACCAAUUAAUAGUAACAGUACCCCACCUUGGCAAUAGCAACAAAAUCAGAGUAUAGACAGUAAUACAAAUAAAAUAUUGACAUACAGUAAAUAUCUACACAAUUUAACAAUUAUACCUCCACUAAUAAUAGAACAGUAUUAAAAGGUAAUACCAUAUAUUCAAGUUACUAUCUAAAUAUUCAUAAAGUUUAAUGGUUACACUAGCAAGAAUUAAAGGUGUGAGGUAUCAGAAAAUUUAAAAAGUAAAAUUUGAAAAAUGAAUCAUUGGAAGAUGAGAAGGAUCAGAGAAAAUUGAAAGAUCCUACUGAAGAGUAAAAGGAAAUUAAUAGUAUUAGAUAAAUGUAACAGAAAAAAACAAACAAUAAAAAGAUAGCAAAAUAGAGAAAAAGAAAAAUAAUAAAAAAGAAUUAAAAUAAGGAGAAAAAAGAAAAGGAGAACCGCCCAAAUACAAUGAAAAAGAAAGAAAAACAAGAAGGAGAAGGAUCAGAAGGAGGAGGAGGAGGAGGAGGAAGAGGAGAAGGAGAAGGAGAACGUGGAGGAGGAGGAGGACAAGAAAAUUGCAGUUUAUAAAAAAAAAUCCCUUUACCUUUUUGGAUAAGUUGUUUCUUUCCAGGUUCUGCAACCUUGCAAUCCAGCAAAUCAUGAUUUUCUCUGCCUAGAUUGUGGUCGGUGGGUUUAUUAUCUGUCACUCCUGUUUCACAGGCCCCUCUGUCUCUACACCCCAAUGUGUGGCACCGUCCGAGCUGAGGUGUGUCCUUGCUUAUGUUAGUAGAUGGGAAAACCAUCAGAUACCGGCCUCUGCUUCUCUCCUGGGACUCUGGCCUCGUCUACAUCCAGUUCUGCAUAUAACAGAAUGAAAUCUGGAUUUCCAAGAUACUAUACCAGUGAUCAAGAAAACCUAAAGUUAAAGUCAGGAGAAAAAGAGAAACUAAUAAGAGAUUGUGUUCCAAAGCUUAACCAGGAAGAUGUACCUGCCAAAAUGCCAAGGAACUUUAAUUACUACAUUUAAAAUGAAGAUUCAGAAACAAUAAGAGCAUUAAGACAGAACCUGCAGGAGGAAAGGCUUUCAGUUUUGGGACCAUUGUGCCAUGGAUAUGUAACUGAAAGGAACUUCAGUCUUCCAGCUCCUUCAUCUUUUUCCACAAGUGAAGAAACUGAACAGUAUUAAAUAACUAGAUUAAGUAAUGUUGUUAUUUAAUGUUACAACUAAGACAAUAAAGAUCUGCUUUAUGCAUCCUGCACUCAUGAUCUCUGUGAUUCUGAGGUGUUCCUAGGUCACUGCUCACGGCCUUAUUAGCACUCUACUCCCCCGCCAAACCCAGUACAAUUGCCCCUCCAUUACUUAGAAACUGUGUUGUGCUUUUUGUGUAAUGUCCUCCACUCUUCACAUUCUACUGUCUCCUAUCUCUAAGUUAUUAAGCAUGCCCAUUUAAGAAUAUUCUUGCAUUCUUUCUACCAAACCACACCUAUUUUACUAAAUAUUCUGUUUCAGAUUUGUCACAAACAUACUCCUCCUCACUUUUCCUCACUCUAAUCUUCCCUCUACCUUUCUUAAAUAACAUGUAUCCUUCCCUUAACACAAUUUAAAACUAUUAUUUCACACAUUCAUCAGCUAGGUUUCUUUCUACUACAAUUAAUCAAAAGCCAAAAUAACAGCAACUUAAACCAUUAGAGCAUCUAGUGUUUACCUAAAAAGGACUCUAGAGGUAGAACUGCUCCUGAGAGACAACAAAUCAGAUUAGAUCCAAAACUAUUUUAUGGUUUCUGUUGUGGCAGAAACCAAUCCGAUUUCUGUCAGUCUGGGCUGAGUUAGUAAUUGAAAACACCUAACUGAAGAGGAAGACGUGUGGGCAGAAGCAACCAGCAGGCAGAUCCUGUCAGAACUGGGGAUAAUAGUUACCAACCUAGUCAGAUAAGCUAUUACAAAGACUUUGCAACAACCGGGUCCCCUAGACAUAACAGGGAAUACAUCUGUUUUCCAUGAAAAUCAGGUGGACUACUUUGGGGGUAAAGGGCUGGGACUUUAACUGUUAUUCAUUUAACACACAUCCAAUUACUCUUCCAGCCAGUCUAGCCUUUGGAGUUCAGGAUAUUGACAAUUAAAGACUAUCCUUUUCCUCAAGCUCAUACUCUGGUUGAGAAAGCAGACACAUAAAUAAUUACAGUUCCACAAAAUGUAUAUUCUAAUAGUUGUAUGUAAAACUCUAUGAAAACCACUGCAGACAGCAAUUAAUUCUGCCCAAAAGUGUCAGAGCAGGUGACUUCUAAGAAGGGAGAGAGGCAUUCCAGAGACCCAGAGAACACACUAGAACAUGAAUGUGGUGGCAUGAAAGAACACAUAAUUUUCAGUAAAAAGGAGGAUUAUGUACCUGGAAUGUAAUGAAAACAUGUGUAAGGUUGGGGAUGGGAAGAUGACUCUUAAUAAAAUGGUACAGUUAACAGACUUUCAGAAGCAGAAUAGAAGGUGACUAAGGAAUUGAGAAAAUAAGACAAGGAUGCAAGUGAACAUGAUGAAUCCGAUUAACUGUGGGUAAAGAUAUGGAGAAAGUGAAUUCAAAUGAGAAACUCAAGACUACAGGGGUUGAUACUUCAAGGUAUAUGUUUGGGUAGGUAAUUGACACUGACAAGUCAAUAUGUUUGCCCUUCUUGGACUGGCAGGAAGUGACUUGAACAAGACGUUCAUAGGAGGAACAUAUCUCUUGGUACAGCUCUGCUUAGUCACCCUCCUUCCUUGAGAUUCGGUCUCUGGGAGAAGGAAAUCCCCAUCAUGGAGCAUACAGGGGAGCAUCUCAUGUAUCUACUUCACAUCUCUAAGACCUUUGUUAAAUUGUAAAAGAUUUCACAGCUUGCUCCGUGUGGCUUUUGUGUUUGAGGGCCUGAUCACUGCUUUGGUAAAGGAGCUUAUAGAACUAGAAAUCAAAAUUUUAGUGGUCCUUCUUUUGACAUCUCUUUCUCAUUCUUUCUUUCCUUAUGAUUUGCAGUUUGGGGCCAUCAAGCCCAGAUAAAGCCCAGAUCAAGCCCAGAUCAUAGGUUUUUAUUUUCUGCUAGCAUAUAUAGUAAUGGGAAUCUCCAAGUUGCAAAGAGUGUGAUAUAUAUAAUGAUAUAUAUAUUUUUUUCUGGAGUAAUUAUAAUUUUGAACACUGC